rnacentral:rRNA from 1 species
UACAGAGGGUGCGAGCGUUAAUCGGAAUUACUGGGCGUAAAGGGCGCGUAGGCGGUUAUAUAAGCUAGAUGUGAAAUCCCUGGGCUUAACCUAGGAACUGCAUCUAAUACUGUAUGACUAGAGUGUAGUAGAGGGUAGUGGAAUUUCCGGUGUAGCGGUGAAAUGCGUAGAUAUCGGAAGGAACACCAGUGGCGAAGGCGGCUACCUGGACUAACACUGACGCUGAGGCGCGAAAGCGUGGGGAUCAAACAGG